GACGAACGCUGGCGGCGUGCUUAUCACAUGCAAGUCGAACGGAAAGGCCCUGCUUUUGUGGGGUGCUCGAGUGGCGAACGGGUGAGUAACACGUGAGUAACCUGCCCUUGACUUUGGGAUAACUUCAGGAAACUGGGGCUAAUACCGGAUAGGAGCUCCUGCUGCAUGGUGGGGGUUGGAAAGUUUCGGCGGUUGGGGAUGGACUCGCGGCUUAUCAGCUUGUUGGUGGGGUAGUGGCUUACCAAGGCUUUGACGGGUAGCCGGCCUGAGAGGGUGACCGGCCACAUUGGGACUGAGAUACGGCCCAGACUCCUACGGGAGGCAGCAGUGGGGAAUAUUGCACAAUGGGCGGAAGCCUGAUGCAGCAACGCCGCGUGCGGGAUGACGGCCUUCGGGUUGUAAACCGCUUUCGCCUGUGACGAAGCGUGAGUGACGGUAAUGGGUAAAGAAGCACCGGCUAACUACGUGCCAGCAGCCGCGGUGAUACGUAGGGUGCGAGCGUUGUCCGGAUUUAUUGGGCGUAAAGGGCUCGUAGGUGGUUGAUCGCGUCGGAAGUGUAAUCUUGGGGCUUAACCCUGAGCGUGCUUUCGAUACGGGUUGACUUGAGGAAGGUAGGGGAGAAUGGAAUUCCUGGUGGAGCGGUGGAAUGCGCAGAUAUCAGGAGGAACACCAGUGGCGAAGGCGGUUCUCUGGGCCUUUCCUGACGCUGAGGAGCGAAAGCGUGGGGAGCGAACAGGCUUAGAUACCCUGGUAGUCCACGCUGUAAACGGUGGGUACUAGGUGUGGGGUCCAUUCCACGGGUUCCGUGCCGUAGCUAACGCUUUAAGUACCCCGCCUGGGGAGUACGGCCGCAAGGCUGAAACUCAAAGGAAUUGACGGGGCCCCGCACAAGCGGCGGAGCAUGCGGAUUAAUUCGAUGCAACGCGUAGAACCUUACCUGGGUUUGACAUGGAUCGGGAGUGCUCAGAGAUGGGUGUGCCUCUUUUGGGGUCGGUUCACAGGUGGUGCAUGGCUGUCGUCAGCUCGUGUCGUGAGAUGUUGGGUUAAGUCCCGCAACGAGCGCAACCCUUGUUCACUGUUGCCAGCACGUUAUGGUGGGGACUCAGUGGAGACCGCCGGGGUCAACUCGGAGGAAGGUGGGGAUGACGUCAAGUCAUCAUGCCCCUUAUGUCCAGGGCUUCACGCAUGCUACAAUGGCUGGUACAGAGAGUGGCGAGCCUGUGAGGGUGAGCGAAUCUCGGAAAGCCGGUCUCAGUUCGGAUUGGGGUCUGCAACUCGACCUCAUGAAGUCGGAGUCGCUAGUAAUCGCAGAUCAGCAACGCUGCGGUGAAUACGUUCCCGGGGCUUGUACACACCGCCCG
rnacentral:rRNA from 1 species